UGAUAUGAUAAGACAUCAAAAAAGUUGUACCUAGUGCACAAAACUCUCAAUUUUGCGGAGUCUGGGAGAGAUCGGGCCUUGGUGCAAUGGCAAGUGCCUUGAUAUGGACUGUUACCCACUUUCAGUGGAUUAACGGGGAAUUGUGGAAUGGUGAAGCUUAGUAUCUCUAAAUGUGUGAGGUAUUAAUCAGCUAAGACUUAUACUUUUUUUGCCAGUAAUAAUUUAGAGUAAUAUCCUCUAUUUCAGGCACUGUUAAUUUAGAAGUUACUAAGUUCUUGGUGUAAAAAUAAUUUGCCCAUGGAUUGCACACCGAAGUUGUUCAUGGCAUGUGGCCUACAGGAGACUUUUUAAAGGUAUAAAUGAUAUGGCUGUCUUCACACAGUCAGAUUUUCACAAGCCAAAGCAGUUGAGAUUAUUACAAAUAGACUAUAAAAUUAGAAGCAAUGAUGUUCCUGGUGGAAAAACCAUUGGCUAGAGUGCAUCAUGAAAUUUUUUCAUUCAACAUGGUGUAUAGGAGAGUGUGCCGAAGAUAAAAGUCAGAUUCUGUUUUCAGACGGUCAGAUUAACAUUAUCUUGAGUUCUUUUAUUAGGUAGAAGGCAAGCCUAGAAAGUAGAAACAAUGUUUUGUCGUUUGUGAAUCUCUAACUUGGUGUGUGAUUUUUGUCUAUGCUGUGAUGUAAAAUAAUUUACUCUGGCAAGCAUGUGCAGGUGAUUAUUAUUGGAGUUCAUGGUUGAAUCCCCAAAGAUGUGAAGUGACAGAAAUUAUUAUGUACAUGGUGUAUUACAGACUUACAGUUCUCUCUAUUAACUAUAUUAAAAUGUGUGAAGAUUCCUGAGGAAUAGUGUUUGGUUGGUUUUAAAAAUUUAGUGAGUCUCUGUCUAAACGCACCGAUAUGUCAAGCAGCACAGACAUUUUUGUUGUGCACCCACCAAAACUCACCAUUUUAUCACUAUACCUCUAGAAAAAGGCUAAAAUGAAGACCCAGUAGAAGAAGAGUAUGUUGGAGAGAGAAUGAAAUGGCAGCAGUAGAAAGGGAAGAGAUGUGCUUUGACCUGCUCUGUAUGGCCCUCUUUGUUGCUUUCUGCGUUGAGAUUGAACAAGGGAGAGAGGAGUGCUAAUCACAUGAAUUCUCGGCUGAAAAUCUGGGACAAGGGAAGGGUCUUUUACCUUCUCCAUUUGCAUUAGGAGUUCUACAAGCAAAGCAUAUAUAGUUUCUUUCCAUUGGCUUCUCAUUCUUCUUCACGAUACCUAAACGCCCAAUUCAUUCAUCAUUCCUAUUUUAAAAAUUUUCCCCAAAAAAGAACACCAGAGACUGUUGAGGACCUCAUAGUUUCAAGCAAUUCGUUAGUUAUGAUCUGGUAUUACUUGGUCUGAAUUUCUCGAAUUUAUAAAUUGAUAGAUUGAAAGGAUAAGAGCAGAGUAAAAGCUCACCACACUAAAUGCUGUCAGAUAUAUUGCAGGCCAACAUAUGCCUACUGUGAGGAAAGAAUGUUGUCCAGCAAAGAUUGCAAAAUGCCUGUAGUUGCUGCUGUAGAGGGUUGGAGGUGGCUUAGAAUUUGUGCUGGGAUGCUAAGCAUGUGUUGCAACACCAAGAACUCAAGUUGGCUUGCCUGAGCUGGUUCUUGUACAUGAACACAUGCAGACAAUAGUGUGUUGUUUGCUUGAUGUCUCUUGGGUGACGAUGCCUAAGCAAGUGGUGGAGUUGCUGGUACACUAAAUUGAAAAGAAAAACAUCAAGAAAAUAUUUACUUGGGAAUGGUACUGUAAACAUCCUUCCUUGACCACACCAUUCAAAAUGGUAACUAGAUGAUUUUCAUAGCAGAAUUUAUGUUGUUAGUGAAUGAAUUCUCCUUUUGAAUGUGCUCUAUUAUGUUUUGAUAACUUGAAACAAAUGACAAUAUCUUUUACAAUAUCCAGUUGUGUUCAAUUGAUGAAGUUGUUUCUAAUUUGUGAUGCAA